rnacentral:tRNA from 1 species
GGUGUUGUGCCAGAAAAAUUGGGUUACUUUGAUGAGGUAAAAUAUGGGAACAGUCUCCGGCACUU